rnacentral:miRNA from 1 species
AUUACCAAAAAGAGAAUGCACACUAGAAUCACCAAUGAAAGUUAUGCAAAUAUUUAAUGAAUAUUUGUAUAACUUUCAUUGGUGAUUCUAGUGUGCAUUCUUUUUUGGUAAUAUUUAUGUUAA